GACAGAGGUGCCGAGCGUUAGGCGGAAUCACUGGGCUUAAAGCGUGUGUAGGCGGAUCUGUAAGUACCUUGUGAAAUCCCACGGCUCAACCGUGGAACUGCUUGGUAUACUGCGGGUCUUGAGCCACCUAGGGGCAAGUGGAACAAACGGUGGAGCGGUGAAAAUGCGUAGAUAUCGUUUGGAACGCCAAUGGUGAAAACAACUUGCUGGGGGUGUGCUGACGCUGAGACACGAAAGCCAGGGAGCAAACGGG
rnacentral:rRNA from 1 species